GGAUGGGCUUCGCAGAACAAAACUGCCAGGUUCCUUAAAGGCUUCCCCGGUCCUUUUGGAUCAAGACUACUCGCUCAAGGAAGGCCAGUUUUACUUCUUUAGUUAAGUCGCUGCUAUAUGAUUCAUGUCACUGCUUUUGCACUGAGCCUCCCUUUUUCUGGGCUGUGGGUAGGGCUGGACAAUAAUUUAA